rnacentral:rRNA from 1 species
AAUAGAUACCCGGGUAGUCCACGCCGUAAACGAUGAGUGCUAAGUGUUAGGGGGUUUCCGCCCCUUAGUGCUGCAGCUAGCGCAUUAAGCACUCCGCCUGGGGAGUACGGUCGCAAGACUGAAACUCAAAGGAAUUGACGGGGGCCCGCACAAGCGGUGGAGCAUGUGGUUUAAUUCGAAGCAACGCGAAGAACCUUACCAGGUCUUGACAUCCCGUUGACCGCUAUGGAGACAUAGUUUUCCCUUCGGGGACAGCGGUGACAGGUGGUGCAUGGUUGUCGUCAGCUCGUGUCGUGAGAUGUUGGGUUAAGUCCCGCAACGAGCGCAACCCUUGUUCUUAGUUGCCAUCAUUUAGUUGGGCACUCUAAGGAGACUGCCGGUGACAAACCGGAGGAAGGUGGGGAUGACGUCAAAUCAUCAUGCCCCUUAUGACCUGGGCUACACACGUGCUACAAUGGACGGUACAAACGGUCGCGAAGUCGCGAGACGGAGCCAAUCCGAUAAAACCGUUCUCAGUUCGGAUUGUAGGCUGCAACUCGCCUAC